rfam:Oryza meridionalis cultivar OR44 (W2112) chromosome 3, whole genome shotgun sequence.
AAUAAACUUUGAUUUCCGUGUACAACGUUUAACCGUCCGUCUUAUUUAAAAAAUUUAUAAAAAAAUUAAAAAGACAAAUCACGCGUAAAAUAUUAAUCAUAUUUUAUCAUCUAACAAAAAUAAAAAUACGAAUUAUAAAAAAAUUCAUAUAAGAUAGACAGUUAAAAUUGGACACGAAAACUAUGGUUUGCCUUUUU